UGUGUCUAAGUAAGUGUGGUGGAAACACUGGAGGGCACACUGGAAAAAUGACCACCAUCGUUCCUGUUCUUAGCUGCUUCCCCUUCUCACCGUGGUGUUACAGCCUCUCCCAUCCAGAGGCCAAGUCUCCUUAAAUCUGACUUGGCUUUGCCACUUGCCUUGGCCAAUGGGAUUUCAGCAAACAAGCUUUAGGCCAAGGUUAGAAAAGCAUUUGUGCAUCGACCUUGCUCUCUUGCUGCUCUUGGAACCCUGAGCCGCCACGCGAAUGAACUGGAGCUAGCCAGAUGCAGAAUGACAGGCCACACUGAGAACCCAGGCGCCACAGCUGACUGCCAGCCAACCACAGAUGUGUGAGUGAGACUGUCCCCAAUCAUUAGGCCACUAGCCAGCACAGAGAUGACCACAGACAAAUGAGAGAACCCAGCAGAGACCAGCCGAGCCGGCCCAGACCAGAAGUGACCAGCCAACCCACUGAGAGUUGUGAUGUAGAUAGCCACAAAGCUUUGGGGCGAUUGUUAUGCAGCAAAGCUACUUAUAUACCCAGCCAGCUCCAGUCCAGGAUGCCUUCUGACAUCUUUGCUUUGAAAUUCUUUGCUGUCUUUUGUCUAGAUUAUGGUUUAUCUCUUAUGAAAGUAGAAGAAUACAUAGUCUUCUCCCCUUGACACCCCUCCUUAAUCAGAAAUUGAAGUUCCAACUGCUUAGGUCUAUCCUCCAACUGUAGGCUCUGAAAUGGGUGCUUUGUAAAUGUGACAUUUCUCAAUUUCGUACAUAACUUUGUGACUGACAGAUGAGUUUUAAGUCAAUGAAGAUACAAUACAAAGUGUAACUGCUACUUAAAGAACAGGCAAAAGCCAUUAGCUCAGUGCUAACAGGUACAAGUUGUCUCACAAUGUUUUAUCACAAGGGAUAAUUUAUCACAAGGGAAAUCACAAAUACUUGUUCAUGGAGCAAAUCUCGGCCUUCUGGAUAAAAUCGCUCUCAGUCUGGAAAUUCACGGAACAGGGUUGGGAUCAUUCUCCCAACCAAGCUCAGUCAGCAGCCUUGGAUUUUCACUGUGAAUACAAGAGGAACCAGGGGUUUGCAAAACUCCUUUAUCCAUUCGUGGACCCCAGAAUCAUGUGACAGCAGGGGGCGCUAUGCAUUGGGCCGUGCACUGAGUCACAAGAAUCCCUGGAGGUUCCAGAUCACCUUCCCUGAGAAGCUGAGGUGCACGGGAGAAACGCUGUCUCUGGAGGACAAGUAUCCACAAGUAGCCCCAAAUGCUCAUAAAUGUCAACCCCUGGGUGUUGUUGCUCUGUGGAUGGAGCCAGCAGCUUUCCCCGCCCCUCUGGGCUCUCCGGGUCUCCGAUGCGGGCCCUGUUGUUCUGCUUCCCAGCCAGAUUUAUUUCCAAGGGCUUAGCUCUGAGGGACGAUGGGAAUGUUUCAGCUUGAGUGCUCCUGACCACGAAGAGGAAAGGCCCCCAAUACAUUUCACAGGCAUCUGCGAGGAAUCUGCAGAGUCCAUUCUUUCAGGAACAAAAUUGCAUUUUAUGAAGCCGUCCCUUUUCUGUUUCAUCUGUCAAGCGGGUUUGCUGAGAAUAAUUUAAAUUUCAUGCAGCAGCAACUGCGGGGCACUGGUGCCUCCUUCCAUCCACAAACAGGCCUGGCCACGGAGUCUUGCUUCUGCCUCUCGGCAGCACCCACCCUUGGGGACUUCAAGCUUGGAGCCCAGAGAGCCAGCGGGGAGCCAGGAACUGGGAGCUGUCCCAGCUCCUCAGCAUUACCUCCUGCCACAUUAGAAGGUCAUGGGGACCUCUCAGGGAGCCUUUCUUUGGCCUGCCAGCACAAAUCACUGGGUCAGGGGGCUGGUUUUUCCCAAAUGCAUAGACCCUUGGAUAGACUCAAUCUCUAGCUUAACUUUUUAAAAUUAACUUUGGUCGACUGAGUUCUUGCCAAGCGGCAGAUACUGUUU
rnacentral:lncRNA from 1 species